GCCCAGCUAGCUCAGUCGGUAGCACAUGCGCUUCUUAAUCUCAGGAUUGUGGGUUUGAGCCCCAUGUCGGAUA